rnacentral:rRNA from 1 species
AUUGAACGCUGGCGGCAGGCCUAACACAUGCACGUCGAACGAGUGGCGGACGGGUGAGUAAUGUCUGGGAAACUGCCUGAUGGAGGGGGAUAACUACUGGAAACGGUAGCUAAUCCCGCAUACCAUCAGAUGUGCCCAGAUGGGAUUAGCUAGUUGGUGGGGUAACGGCUCACCAAGGCGACGAUCCCUAGCUGGUCUCAGAGGAUGACCAGCAACACGUGAAAUGAGACACGGUCCAGAGGCCGCAGGGAGGCAGCAGUGGGGAAGAUUGCACAAUGGGCGCAAGCCGGAUGCAGCCAUGCAGCGUGUAUGAAGAAGGCCUUCGGGUUGUAAAGUACUUUCAGCGGGGAGGCGUUACCCGCAGAAGAAGCACCGGCUAACUCCGUGCCAGCAGCGGCGGUAAUUC